AACGAACGCUGGCGGCAGGCUUAACACAUGCAAGUCGAACGCCCCGCAAGGGGAGUGGCAGACGGGUGAGUAACGCGUGGGAAUCUACCCAGUUCUACGGAACAACUGAGGGAAACUUCAGCUAAUACCGCAUACGCCCUACGGGGGAAAGAGUUAUCUGAAUUGGAUGAGCCCGCGUGGGAGUAGCUAGUUGGUGAGGUACCGGCUCACCAAGGCGACGAUCCAUAGCUGGUCUGAGAGGAGGAUCAGCCACACUGGGACUGAGACACGGCCCAGACUCCUACGGGAGGCAGCAGUGGGGAAUAUUGGACAAUGGGCGCAAGCCUGAUCCAGCCAUGCCGCGUGAGUGAUGAAGGCCUUAGGGUUGUAAAGCUCUUUCAGUGGGGACGAUAAUGACGGUACCCACAGAAGAAGCCCCGGCUAACUUCGUGCCAGCCGCCGCUGUAAUAC
rnacentral:rRNA from 1 species